rnacentral:telomerase_RNA from 1 species
AAAAAAAAAUGAAAAAAAAAAAAAAAAAGAAGAAAAAAAGAAAAAAUGAAUGUACAAAUCCCGAACCUGCAUGGGAAGAAAUUCUCACCCUGAACCCUAGAAGUGCCUGAUUGUUUGCUCAUUAGUAACUGGUUAACUGCGAUAAUGAAAAAGGAAGGGGACAGAGAACGAUAGCAUAUGGUUUGACUCCUCGUCUUUUAUUUCUUUUUUCUUUUUUUCAUAGCAGUUAAACACGAAAAUGAGGUCGUAUAUUGGAUUAGGGCGGAAGUUCCCCAAAGGACGCGCUCCCAUUUGAAGCUCUUAAUCUUUCCGUAUUUGGAAGGGAAAGGAAAAUGCAGUAACAUGGCAAAGGGUAGAGAAAUGGUUUGAGAGGUGUAUCCCUACAUGAGGGGAAGCAUAUGUGGAAGAGAGAACAAAAAGGAAGAGGAGGAAUGGAUUACGUAAGGUAUAUUUUUCCUUACUGACAUCUGUUCUUUUUUCUUCCUUUUUAUUCCCUCUUCCACUUUAUGCAUCCUUCUGUAGGGGUACAUCUCUCCUUCCAUGUAUCUUUGCCCUUUGCCAUGUUACUGCAUUUUCCUUUCCCCUCCAAGAAGAAGCAGAAAGGUCCAUAUACUUCAAUCAGUCUACUCAACAUUGCGCUAUUUUUAUCUCUCGAGUCAGCCAGGAGAUAACUGUUUUGUUUUUUUCGUCCUACUUGUUAUUAAUUCGUUUUGUUAAAUUGUUUUUAUUUGCUUAUUUUCUCCCUCGUUUUUAUGGUACACAUGGCAAUUGUAAGUGGACCCGUCUCGGUGCCCCUCUCUUGCGUGUAAAAGCGCGUUGAAAGGGAACAUCAUGCGAGUUUCUUAGCAGUUGCUAUGUGUGGCAUAAGAAAGAGGGGGAAAUAAAUAAAUAAAAUAAUUUAAGAAAACGAAUUAAUGAGAAGUAGGAUGAAAAAAAACAAAACCACACGCGGAGAACAAACACAUAGUGGGAAAUCUAGUACGGUGCAUGUGUGUGUUUAUGUAUGUGUGUAUGCACUGCAAAGUGUGUGCAGAUAACCAUGGCACCACCCCCGAACGACUGCUCCCGGUCUAUGCCUUGUUCGAAGCAAGAAGGGGAAACCUCCGUCGAAUUUAAUUCGUACAGUUGCUUCCCCUUAAUUAUGGCUGGAAUCUAUCUGCAUUCUUUUCCUCCUCCCGGAAAGGUGUAUAGCCAUUUUUUUAAAUAGCUGUACCCCUUUGGGGGGGAGGAAAAGAAUGUUCCAUUUCAUGGUGCAGUUAACUCUGCGUGAAUACAAUGUCAGGUUGUUUCAUUACAGACAUGAAUAAGAUAGAGAGUUACCAAGGAUGUGAUGCAGUUCUAUCCGUAGAAUUGUAAUCAAAAUUCGUUUUGCCUUCCGAAAAAAUGAGCAUUCCCAAAAGAAGCAAAAUAAUUAUAAAUAGCUAGCAAGUUGAUGCACAUGACAGGGUCAGUCCUACGUGUGCAUAAUAUGCACAGAGAUAGGAAAGGGGGAAAUAUCACUAUGCAAUUGAGCGACAAUUAAUAAUUUCUAUUCACCCAAGGGAGCAAGUGAUUGAAAUUUUAAUUCGCCACUCUCUUCAUAGCGAUUUUUCUGCAUUCGGGAUUUUGUUACAAAUGUAAAAUG